rnacentral:rRNA from 1 species
UACGUAGGGGGCGAGCGUUGUCCGGAAUCAUUGGGCGUAAAGAGCGUGUAGGCGGCCCGAUAAGUCCGCUGUGAAAGUCCAGGGCUCAACCCUGGAAUGCCGGUGGAUACUGUCGGGCUCGAGUCCGGAAGAGGUGAGUGGAAUUCCGUGGUGUAGCGGUGAAAUGCGCAGAUAUCAGGAAGAACACCGUGCGAAGGCGGCUCUCUGGACGGUACUGACGCUGAGACGCGAAAGCGUGGGGAGCGAACAGGAUUAGAACCGA